UACCAGCACCCCGAGUGGUCGGGACGUUUAUUGGGCCUAAAGCAUCCGUAGCCGGUUCUACAAGUCUUCCGUUAAAUCCAACUGCUUAACAGGUGGGCUGCGGAAGAUACUAUAGAGCUAGGAGGCGGGAGAGGCAAGCGGUACUCGAUGGGUAGGGGUAAAAUCCGUUGAUCCAUUGAAGAACACCCGUGGCGAAGGCGGCUCUCUGGAACGCAACUGACGCUGAGACGCGAAAGCGUGGGGAGCAAACAGG
rnacentral:rRNA from 1 species